rnacentral:rRNA from 1 species
GAUGAACGCUGGCGGCGUGCCUAAUACAUGCAAGUCGAGCGAACAGACGAGGAGCUUGCUCCUCUGACGUUAGCGGCGGACGGGUGAGUAACACGUGGAUAACCUACCUAUAAGACUGGGAUAACUUCGGGAAACCGGAGCUAAUACCGGAUAAUAUAUUGAACCGCAUGGUUCAAUAGUGAAAGACGGUUUUGCUGUCACUUAUAGAUGGAUCCGCGCCGCAUUAGCUAGUUGGUAAGGUAACGGCUUACCAAGGCAACGAUGCGUAGCCGACCUGAGAGGGUGAUCGGCCACACUGGAACUGAGACACGUUCCAGACUCCUACGGGAGGCAGCAGUAGGGAAUCUUCCGCAAUGGGCGAAAGCCUGACGGAGCAACGCCGCGUGAGUGAUGAAGGUCUUCGGAUCGUAAAACUCUGUUAUUAGGGAAGAACAAAUGUGUAAGUAACUAUGCACGUCUUGACGGUACCUAAUCAGAAAGCCACGGCUAACUACGU